CUCAAGAUUAAGCCAUGCAAGUGGUUAUAUUAACCCGACAGUUUAAAUAAGUGUUAAAUGCUACAUUAAACUUCCACACACAUCGAACCACGCACACACACACAUACCCCGAUGAUUUUGUUUACGGUAGUAACAAUUUCUCAGCGUGAAUCACGACACACACCGUGAGUCACUGAAAUUUACACAUUCAGUAUCACUUACGCAACUGCAGACAGCUGCUUAAUACAGUCACACUUGUCUUGACUUGGCGUCAUUAUUUCACACCCACUGCGUACAGGGACAUUUUUUACACGUAACUGUGUGUCUCGGCACAUCACCUCGCGUAUUUUUUGUUCCUCACAGUGACCGUGAAAUUACACACACACACACACACGAUUUCUCUGUAUCGCUUAUUCUUCAAAGGACAUUGCGUUACACCGUGACAAUUUUUCUUUUAUGGAUAACUCAGGGAAAGUUUGGCUAAUACGUACGAGUAUUUUUACAAUACACACACGACGUCGACGAAUGUCUUACGACACACACACAUUUCUCACAGACACUCCUCUCGACACUCUACACUACUCAGCACUCAGUGGUAAACUUUGGCUGCGUUCGCGCAGUCAGUUUAAAGUUUAACUGCAACAUGAGAGACAUUGAGCACGCACGUGUCGUUCCCUCGGGAGCUUCACAUCACGCUGAGCAGACUUUGCGAAGUUUUACUUUGCGAAGCAUGUCAUACAAGCAUCUACAGCAUCAAGUCACAGGGUUGGCAAGUGUAUUUUUGAACCUUCAAAGCAGUCACGCAUACGGAAGAGUAGUUUCUGAUCCCAUAGAAGGAGCACSGUACAAUGAGAGACCGCUCUUAGUUCUAAGGAACGCAGCAGGCGCGUAAAUUGCCCAAUGCUAGUACCCUACAAUCUAUAUCUCUAUAUAUCAAUUGUUAUUACAAUGCGUUACAACAAUUUACAACUUAUACAAGUUUGAUUACACACAUAUAGCACUUCUAUUUUAYUCUGUCAACACAGAGAACACAUACAUCCUUGUUCGUUGUUUAUUCAGCAUUUUAGAACAUUUCAUCGAUCUAUAUCGGUAUUUUUCUAUUUACUGAGGCAGUGACAAGCUGUAACGGUUGAGUAUAAAAAUGACGAGUGUCUGGCAUUGCCGCUCUUUCGGGAGCUUGGCAAGUUGCCGACGCUUUGUGUGCUCAAUUGGAAUGCGGUGAGUUUAAGCAACUCAGAACCUUUGGACGGUGUUAGUAAAAUUUCACUGUUCGUGUAUCUGAAUUUCAAGUGGAGGGCAAGUCUGGUGCCAGCAGCCGCGGUAAUACCAGCUCCACUGGCYUAUACAAUCAUGUUGC
rnacentral:rRNA from 1 species